UACGUAGGGUGCAAGCGUUGUCCGGAAUUAUUGGGCGUAAAGAGCUCGUAGGCGGUUUGUUGCGUCGGCUGUGAAAUCCCGAGGCUCAACCUCGGGUCUGCAGUCGAUACGAGCAAACUAGAGUGUUGCAGGGGAGACUGGAAUUCCUGGUGUAGCGGUGAAAUGCGUAGAUAUCGUGAGGAACACCAGAGGCGAAGGCGGUUUCCUGGACAGUUACUGACGCUCAGGCACGAAAGCAUGGGGGAGCAAAAGGG
rnacentral:rRNA from 1 species